AUACUCAUCAUUCUCGGGUAC
rnacentral:siRNA from 1 species